CAGCCGCCGCGGGAAUACAGAGGGUGCGAGCGUUAAUCGGAUUUACUGGGCGUAAAGCGUGCGUAGGCGGCUUCUUAAGUCGGAUGUGAAAUCCCUGAGCUUAACUUAGGAAUUGCAUUCGAUACUGGGAAGCUAGAGUAUGGGAGAGGAUGGUAGAAUUCCAGGUGUAGCGGUGAAAUGCGUAGAGAUCUGGAGGAAUACCGAUGGCGAAGGCAGCCAUCUGGCCUAAUACUGACGCUGAGGUACGAAAGCAUGGGGAGCAAACAGGAUAAGAGACCCCUGUAGUCCCUGUCUCUUAUAC
rnacentral:rRNA from 1 species